GAGACUAUACUUUCAGGAAUCAUUUCUAUAGUAUGUGACUAGAAAGGUUUCUCUGAUUGUGUAGAGCACCCAAAGCCAAGAAAAAGAGCCAGAGCGUCCUCUCCUGAGCAUAAAGCCGGUUCUAGGUGUUGCUUCUGCGACUGUCUUUGGCCAAUGAUGAUUGUUCUUCCCUUCCUUUGGAAGGGAUAGAGGGAGAGGAUGCCGUCUUAGUGGU